rnacentral:lncRNA from 10 species
UGAGAUUACAGGUGUGUGCCACUAUGCUUACGAAUUUUGUUUUGUAUUAUUUGCAGAGAUGGGAUCUCACCAUAUUGCCCACACUGGUCUCGAACUCCCAGGUUCAAACCAUCCUCCUGACUCAGCCUCCCAAAGUGCUGCGACUAUAGGCGUGAGUCAUGGCACCUGGCCUGGAGCGCCUUUUCUAUGGAAACCAGAAGACCCCUAAAACUCAUCUUUCUUUUUGCCUGAGGGAUUAUCCCAUUGUGAUGACCUUGACUUUGAAGUGCCCAACACAGUGUGGGUGCCCAAAGGAUAAGAAGCAAGGAAUCUGCCUUUGAGAAGUCUGCAGUCUAGCCAUGGAGACAAGACGUACCCAGGAUGAAAUACGGGAACCCUCCUACCUCCUUGACUCUUCUGUAGCCCCAAACAUCCCCAUGCAAAUAAGCCCAUAAAAGGAGCCCUGAGUCCUUCAACUCAAACAUGUCAUCACUGUACCCGGGUAAAUAAAAAUAAAAACUCAUGCCAUAUAUUGAUUUACUGGUGAUCAUAUUAUAUAUGCAAUUUGUAUGCUGCCUUGUCGCCUACCAUAGUGUGGAUAUUUUCUCAUGUGAUUAAAGACUCUU